rnacentral:rRNA from 1 species
UCCCAAGGGUUGGGCUGUUCGCCCAUUAAAGCGGUACGCGAGCUGGGUUCAGAACGUCGUGAGACAGUUCGGUCCCUAUCCGGCGCGGGCGUAGGAUAUCUGAGGGGAGCUGGCCUUAGUACGAGAGGACCGGGCUGGACGGACCACUGGUGUACCGGCUGUCAUGCCAAUGGCAUCGCCGGGUAGCCAAGUCCGGAAGGAAUAAACGCUGAAGGCAUCUAAGCGUGAAGUCCCCCCCAAGAUGAGAUAUCCCAUCCUUAUAAAGGAGUAAAAACCCUUGAAGAGUACGAGGUAGAUAGGGCAGAGGUGGAAGUGUGGUAACACAUGGAGCUGACUGUUACUAAUCGUUUGAGGGCUUGACCAAAA